rnacentral:sRNA from 1 species
GUUGAAUAGCCACUAAGUGCUUAAUUUUGAUUUGCAAUAAUUGAAAAUGUACUUGUAAAUGUACUAGUAAAUUAGUAAAUGGUUUUUUUUACCAACAGUAGCUAUUUUAAUCUUGUGAAAUAAAAUUGUAACUAUAACCAUAAAAAAUCUACCGCCACUGAUUUACCAUAUACCAAAUUUUUACACUUUUUCCACAUAUUUUAAAUAUUAUAUGACAAGAUGAACUUUUUAAAAAUUACUGUGAACAGAAGUAAUAAAUUAUUAUUUGGUCCAAAACAAAAAUAUUGAGUUUCUCUUCCGCCUCAUGGUCACGCAAGUGCAGGGGAAUGUAAGUACUGCAGCAUGACAUAUAGCAUGAGCAACGGCCUCUCAUUGAAAUCUGAUGUCCUUAAAAGCUAAAAUAAUUUGUAUAUUUAUUUAGAUAUACUUUCUGUGAAUGUGUAUUUCAGACUACAGAUAUCAAAUCACAUCAAAUUCCAAUUCUAUUCUCAAUGCGUCAAUCCCACUGUAACUAUUUUUAGACAACAGUCGUAAUCACAUGACUCUGAAAUCGAUGUCCGAAACAACUAGUUUUGUGUACAAGUGUAAUUCCAGAUGAAUUUUAAUGACUUGUUAGCUGAUUUGUAAUGACUAAGAAUAUGUGAAGCAUUCAGUGUAAUCAAAUUUUUUAUAUUUCUUAUUUCCAUUGUCAUAGUAAAAAGUAAAAUAUCUUUUUUGAGUCACAUGUCACUUGAAAUGUACUGUUUAUUUAGAGAAAUAUUUAGUGUUUGAAAGCGAUUGGUUUGAUAAAUAUUGAUAAUAAUGAUUAAUCCUUGUUUCACCUUAAGGAUUAAAUUGUGACUUACAAAUUUAUGAGAUAUUGAAAUAGUUAACAGCUUGUACAAAAAAUAAAAGAUU